AUAGUCUACGAAAACUGAAGUUAUGAAUUCCUCUUUUGUUCUUGAAUUAAUUUAAAAAUUGACACGCUAUUAGGAUAUUUGUUCUUACCUUUUUCAUAUGUAAACGCGUAAUCUUAAUGUAGCCUACAUUUACACAUAAAUGUGUAAUUUACUAGCAAAAAGUCGCUUUCAUUGUUGAAUCUGAGUGGAUUCUCAGUCACUGACCCAACAAGUUUUCCUUGAGUUUAUUGACAGGACAACCGUAUCGAUCUGCUAAACUUCCCAAAUACUGCGUAUGUUGGCGCCACUGUAUCAGAUUAUAACCUGUCAGCCGUUUUCCUCUGAAAGUUAAACAACCAGACAAUGUGCCAUUCUGAGAGACUGUACUGUGUCUUUCUGAAUGUUGCGCGGAAGAUCAGGCCAGUGCCCGUGGUGCUGUCAGUUGUGACAGUUCCCAGAUGGAGGCCGCUACUGUAUGCGAGAUUGAGUUUCUCACAGAAACAACUCCCUCUUCUUCCAAACCGUCCUCCAAAAGUUCUUCAGGCACUCUUGCGCCCCGACGCCUCAAACAUCGGUAACGCGGAAAGAAUGAGCGGAGUUUUGAAGGAAUAAAGACGCUUCGCCCCAUCAGGGUAUGCUUGACUAGAAGAGAUGGCAAUACAUCUUGCGCGUGACGAGCUAGUGGCAGGAUCACUGAUGGUUACUACGGCAUUCCAAUUUACAAAGGGUGCCCUCUAUUUUACACCGCAAAGCCUUCCCAGCAUGGAUCACAUUGGAUUUUUCAGUUUGUGUUCCUCUUCACAUUCAAAGCGUUUUCCGAAUGAUUUAUUUCUUUAGCACAAGCACUGCUUCGUUUGCAAUGUUUCAUUUUCACAAAUAUUUGGCGGGAUGAGGUGCAAGCUUCAAGGAUUCGAAGACCAAGGGACAAUGAUAAGGAUAUUGAGUACAUUCACCGUGUUGCCAGUAGGCCUAUGCGGGUUGCAUAUCGGGAAGCUGCGCUUUUGGGACAUUCGCCAAAUCCAUAUUUUCAUCAGCAUGCAAAGCUCAGACUAUUCCCCGUUAAACAUAUUCAGUUCCUCUGAAUUUACAGCUGUUUACAACAAUCAAACCACUUCUUUGACUGUAUACCCAAAUCAGUGUAUUUCAUUUAUUUACCUCUUUAUUCUUUUGAUCCAUUUAUUAUCUGACCAUUAUCUUUUUUUCUGUAUGUAUAGCCUAUUACAUUACUGUCAUUGGUAAAAUUAAAACUAUACUGAUAUAUUAAAAUCACACUGUAUCGACUGGACUGCAACGAUUACAUAUUUUCGUAUUUAGCCUACAUAGGCUAUGUAUUUAUUUACAUACAUGUCUGUUUUGUCAUACUGUUCUACGUAAUUUAUUUUGAUGUGUUAUAUGUUUCUUUAUUCACUUAUCUUUGUUUUUUAUUUAUAUUGCGUGUUACUGUUGUUCUGUGCACUGUAAGCUUCUUCUGUCACCGAGACAAAUUCCUUGUUUGUGUAAACAUACUAGGCAAUAAAUCUCAUUCUGAUUCUGAUAUAAAGUUUAGGUGUAAUUUUGAGUUUGUCCUGCAAAUGAUUGCAUA